rnacentral:rRNA from 1 species
CCUACGGGCGGCUGCAGUGGGGAAUAUUGCACAAUGGGCGCAAGCCUGAUGCAGCCAUGCCGCGUGUGUGAAGAAGGCCUUCGGGUUGUAAAGCACUUUCAGCGGGGAGGAAGGCGUUAAGGUUAAUAACCUUGUCGAUUGACGUUACCCGCAGAAGAAGCACCGGCUAACUCCGUGCCAGCAGCCGCGGUAAUACGGAGGGUGCAAGCGUUAAUCGGAAUUACUGGGCGUAAAGCGCACGCAGGCGGUCUGUCAAGUCGGAUGUGAAAUCCCCGGGCUCAACCUGGGAACUGCAUGCGAAACUGGCAGGCUAGAGUCUUGUAGAGGGGGGUAGAAUUCCAGGUGUAGCGGUGAAAUGCGUAGAGAUCUGGAGGAAUACCGGUGGCGAAGGCGGCCCCCUGGACAAAGACUGACGCUCAGGUGCGAAAGCGUGGGGAGCAAACAGGAUUAGAUACCCGAGUAGUC